CUCAAUUACUUGCAUAAUUCUUUUUUUCUCCCUUUAAAACUUAUUGGACAUGAUGGAUCUAAGCAUGAAAUGGGACUGAAGAGUGGGGAAGGACAUUCAGCAAAUUGACAGUACCGUGAAUCUCAAUGAGGGAAACCAGAACAGAGACACAACAGACGUCAACACAGAGAGAAGAUACAACUGCCAUACACUGUUUUUUGAAGAACAGAGGAGAGAAGGAG